rnacentral:rRNA from 1 species
UGGGGAAUUUUGGGCAAUGGGCGAAAGCCUGACCCAGCAACGCCGCGUGAAGGACGAAAUCCCUCUGGGAUGUAAACUUCGAAAGUUAGGGAAGAAAUACCGGGGGGGAACAUCCCCCGGGGAUGACGGUACCUAACGUAAGCCCCGGCUAACUACGUGCCAGCAGCCGCGGUAAUACGUAGGGGGCAAGCGUUGUUCGGAAUUACUGGGCGUAAAGGGCGCGUAGGCGGUACGACAAGUCAGGAGUGAAAGCCCGGGGCUCAACCCCGGAACUGCUUUUGAAACUGUCGAACUAGAGUGCAGAAGAGGCAACCGGAAUUCCCAGUGUAGCGGUGAAAUGCGUAGAUAUUGGGAAGAACACCUGAGGCGAAGGCGGGUUGCUGGGCUGACACUGACGCUGAGGCGCGAAAGCCAGGGGAGCGAACGG